UACGGGGGGGGCAAGCGUUGUUCGGAAUUACUGGGCGUAAAGGGCGCGUAGGCGGCCUGUUAAGUCGAACGUGAAAUCCCCGGGCUCAACCCGGGAACUGCGUCCGAAACUGGCAGGCUUGAAUCCGGGAGAGGGAUGUGGAAUUCCAGGUGUAGCGGUGAAAUGCGUAGAUAUCUGGAGGAACAUCGGUGGCGAAGGCGACAUCCUGGACCGGUAUUGACGCUGAGGCGCGAAAGCCAGGGGAGCAAACGGG
rnacentral:rRNA from 1 species